GCAUUUGUGGAGUGAACAAUUCUCUGUCCGUCUGUCUUUCUCUGUCUGUCCCUCUGUCACUCUGCCUUUCAAAUAAACAAAUAAAUCUUUAAAAAAUAGGUUGAUGGUGCUCUAGGGAUGGAACUUUAAUACAAUUAUGAUGUUUAGGAGGUGAUUCUAGUAGGAGAUUCUUAGGUCGUUGAGUGUGUGUCCUUCCUUGGAAGUUAGUUCUUUUAAGAGGGUUGGUUGGUUAUAAAAGCCAAAUUUGGCCCAGAUCCCGUCUCUACUUCUGGUUUGUCAUGUGACCCUUUGCCAGUACUCCAUGCUCCUUCUUGUCAUGUGAUGCUAUAUUCUGCAAGCAAGAAAUCUUUUACCAGAUGCCAAACCCAUGCGAACAGCAAGUCUUGGACUGUGAACUUCUAAAACUAUGAGUGGACAUAAACUUGCUUUUUUCAUGAGUAGUUUGUAUUAGAUAUUUCAUUAUAGAAACAACAGCAACAAAAAAGCUUAAUACAGAACCUGUACAUGGGAGGCUUAGUAACUUACCAAUUUAACAGUUUUUGUGCCUUCCUAAAGGGCAAGUCCAAAGAAUUGUGACUGCCAACUUUAUGCAGUUACCUCCAAAGGGAAUUCUAAUUAUUAUGUGGCACAGAAAUGUAAAAGCUCCUCUUCUGGGAUCUGUGUAGAGGCUCUUCCUUGACUUUGAAGAAAAGGCUGAUGUUAUGGAGUUCGCACAAAGCACAUCACAGGAUCUGUCCUCCAGUGUUGAUGGACACUGAACUUCAGUCUGUGGGCACAGACGUAAAUGGCUGAAGCAGAGUAGAAUGGAGAUCACUAGCAUUUCUAAGGAAAUAGAAGGACUCGUUGUAGUGGCUUUACAGGUAAGUGGCAUUUAAAAUAGAAAACAAAAUUGAUUGUACAUAACCAGAUAUUUCUAUUUGUCCUUUAACCCAAUGGACAUUUAUCUUGUACAAGUUUUACAAGAAUGUAUUUGGAAAAAAUAGUACAGAGAAUGAUGUUUUAUUCCUAAUGGGAUUUUAGCAGUUUGGGCCAUAUGUAU
rnacentral:lncRNA from 1 species